CGUACACUCCUACGGGAGGCAGCAGUGGGGAAUAUUGGACAAUGGGCGCAAGCCUGAUCCAGCCAUGCCGCGUGAGUGAUGAAGGCCCUAGGGUUGUAAAGCUCUUUCACCGGUGAAGAUAAUGACGGUAACCGGAGAAGAAGCCCCGGCUAACUUCGUGCCAGCAGCCGCGGUAAUACGAAGGGGGCUAGCGUUGUUCGGAUUUACUGGGCGUAAAGCGCACGUAGGCGGACUAUUAAGUCAGGGGUGAAAUCCCGGGGCUCAACCCCGGAACUGCCUUUGAUACUGGUAGUCUUGAGUUCGAGAGAGGUGAGUGGAAUUCCGAGUGUAGAGGUGAAAUUCGUAGAUAUUCGGAGGAACACCAGUGGCGAAGGCGGCUCACUGGCUCGAUACUGACGCUGAGGUGCGAAAGCGUGGGGAGCAAACAGGAUUAGAAACCCCUGUAGUCCCAUGAU
rnacentral:rRNA from 1 species